AACAGAGGAACGGCUUUCAUUUGUAUCGUCCCGCGCCCAUCUCGUGACACUACGGGAGCCGACUGGAUCCAAGACCGACUGUUUCUCAUCAGGCAGCAUCACGGGUCACCUCAGCGCCGCCUCACGUCACACAGGCACAGGAGCCCAUCAUGCAAUUUCCCACUUCAGGCUGGCAAUGGUCUAGGAACGAUCAAUAACUACAGUUCACUGGCUGGGGCUUCCAGCAGUUUCAUAGUUCUCAAAUCAAGUAUGGCAGAAGGUUGCAGAGAUCCUCAAGCUUCCUACAGAUUAUUCAACGGGUUUGUGGGUCGACAUCCAGCUCCUCCUGCUGAAUACUACUGUGAAUUCGCCCCCAUCCCCCUCGUCCUCAGGACCGCUCUCUUCAAGUCCUCCCGUGUGGAAAUAAGGGCAUUGGAGUGAAACAAAGGCUGAGUGAUGGAUUCGUCAGAAAUGUGCACCAGUAAUCCUUCCUCCCUCAUGCGGUAAGUAGUGACACCCAACUGUGGUUCCCACCCAGUCACCGUCUCUUUGUUGGACCGGCACAGGCUGGAUUCAGGUGCUGAGAGAAGGUUCACCAGCUCAGCCUUCACGAUCCUCUGAGCAGGUUCAACACAUCACAGAGGUGGACGGAUGGAAAAAACCAAGGCAUGGGAGAGGAGGAUGAGGAUGAGGAUGAAGAAGAAUGAAGACCAAAGCCAGACAGA